GCAACCCUUAUCUUUAGUUGCCAGCAUUUCGGAUGGGAACUCUAAAGAGACUGCCGAUGACAAAUCGGAGGAAGGUGGGGAUGACGUCAAAUCAUCAUGCCCUAUAUGCCCUGGGCUACACACGUGCUACAAUGGAAGGUACAAAGGGAAGCAAGAUAGCGAUAUUAAGCAAACCUCAAAAAGCCUUUCCCAGUUCGGAUUGUACUCUGCAACUCGAGUACAUGAAGAUGGAGUUGCUAGUAAUCGCAGAUCAGAAUGCUGCGGUGAAUGCGUUCCCGGGUCUUGUACACACCGCCCGUCACACCAUGGGAGCUUGUAAUACCCGAAGCCUGUGAGCAAACCGUAAGGUAGCAGCAGUCGAAGGUAGGAUAAGUGACUGGGGUGAAGUCGUAACAAGGUAGCCGUAUCGGAAGGUGCGGCUGGAUCACCUCCUUUCUAAGGAA
rnacentral:rRNA from 1 species